UUGGUGAGAAGCCAGCAGAGAAGGCUGCAGGGCUAGGACGUGGGCGCAGGGCUCUCCUGAGUAGUGGGGACAGCUUCGUGGGUAGAUCUCCAAUUGCUGAGGGCCCUCAGGAGAACUAAGGCAAACAGGCAUGGGCACCCCCAUUUCCCUGACCUGGCUGGAACCUGAGCUCCACACUCAUUAGUAUAUGUCUCAAGCUAGUGCCUCAACUGCUCAGAGCCUUGGUUUCUUCAUCCGUAGAGAGGAGAUCAUGGAAACUUCAGCUGUGUAGCUGGGGAUGUUAAAUGAGGUAAUGUACACAAGCACGGGACACAGCCCUGGCAUCAGUGUUUCAGCGUACUGCCCUCCCGACACCGGCAUGUUCUCCUGACCCUUGGGGGAGGGGGCAUUCGGCCUUUACGUGCCCAGAGGAGAGGCUUUGCCUCCUAGGGCCGGGUGACACACAUGGGCUUACUGAAAGCUCAGAAGUGGCUCCUGUAGCCCUCAGGUUCUGUCCAGGCCUCUCUUCAGGGUUUUCCCCUGUAGUGAAGAUGGUAGUCCCUUGAUUUUAAACAACAAACUUGACCUGUUCCCUGCCAUUCGUCUAUCCCAGAUUCAUGGGGCCUGGAAUUCAUUCAUUUACUGAACAGAUAUUUAUUCAGCAUUCCCUGUGCUAGUUAUUGUUCUUGGUGCUUGGGAUGCAUCAAUGAGAUCUGUCUAGCUGGGAGGACAAGACAGUAAGUCUAAUACAUAAAUAAAUAAUAGGGUGUAUGUUAAGUGCUAAAUAGGCAAGGUUGGGAGAAUAUGGGUGGAUUACAGUGGUUUUUUGGCUGCAUUGAGUUCGCAUUGCAGCAUGGGGACUUUUUCUAGUUGUGGCGCAGCCUCAGUAGUUGCAGCUUACAGGCUCUCUAGUUGCAGCACUUGGGCUUUGUUGCCCUGCGGCAUGUGGGACCUUAGUUCCCCAACCAGGGGUCAAACCCACUUCCAUCCCCUGCACUGGAGGCAGAUUCUUAACCAUUGGACCACCAGGGAAGUCCUGGGAUUACAGUUUUCAUGGGGUAUUAGGGUAGCUCUCAUGAGAGGGUGAGACUUAAACCAUGCCUUGAAGUUUGGGGCAUGGAUGUUAGCCAAGCUGGUGUUUAGAGGAAGAACAUUCCAUGCAAAGGAAGCAUCACGAGCCAAGGUUCCAGAAAGGAGUGUGUCUCAUGGGAAGGGAUGGCAGGAGGCCAGCUAGAGCAGAAGGAGCAGGGAGGGCAGUGGGAAGGAGGUGAUGGGGUAACAGGGACCAGGUGGUGUCGCACCUGAUAGACUGUGAUGAGGACAUUCACUUUUACUCUGAGUCAAAUGAGGAUUUUGAACAGCCUGGAGUGAUAGGGUCCAACUUACAUUCUUGAAUGCAUCCUACCAGCCCGUGGGUUGAGAGUGGUCUCCCGUGAGGACUUUCACAAUCAAGCUAGAGGUGAUGGUGGUUUGGUCCAGAGUAUUUUUCAGAGGAGGUAGGACGUGAUCAGAUCCUGGGUAUAGAACCUUGAGUGUAUGGGCUGUGGAGAAUACAGCCAGCAUAGUUUUUGAAUGGAUUGCAUGCAAGUGUAAGAAAAAGAGAGGAGUCAGUGGUGCUUUUUAGCCUGAGCAGCUGCAAACCCAGAGUGGCAACCAACUGAAAUGGAAAAGAGCAAGUGUGGGGCGGGGGUUCCAUUUGCCGUAUGAGUUUUAGAUUGAGGUUAUGCAUUUUGGGCAAGAACCCUACGGAAGUGACAGCCCUCACGUCGGGAGCACCCAUGCCACUGGUGAGGUUAACCUGGAGCACAUGGUUAAGGUGGUACCAGCCAGGUCUCUCCUCUGUAAAGUCACUAUUUUUCCCUUUGUAAAUAAUCACUCUUGGGGGAAUAUACUUUGAACAUGAACAUGUUAGUCGCUCAGUUGUGUCCAGCUCUUUGCAACUCUAUGGACCAUAUCCCACCAGGCUCCUCUGUCCAUGGGAUUCUCCAGGCAAGAGUACUGGAGUGGGUAGAAGAUCCCUUCUCCAAGGGAUCUUCCCAACCCAGGGAUUGAACCUGGGUCUUCUGCAUUGCAGGCGGAUUCUUUACCAUUUGAGCCACCAUAAUUAAUCACUGUCUUGGAGGAUGAUACCUUGAAACUAUAUAAAUAUCCUGUUUUUCCUCAGACUUGGUUCUAAUGGUGAUUUUCUGUUUCCCUCAUCCCCCUUACGUUUAUUAGUUGGAAUUCUUCUAUAAGAAAGAAGUAUCUGUGCUAUGUAUUUAUUCAGGUACUUUUUAUAUCAGAUAUUUAUUUUAUCUAUAGGUUAUAAUCCACUACUCUCAUUAUGUAUUAUGCAUUUGGUUGCUCAAAUUGCUCCAGCCAUGUCCACUUUAAGAGCUCUUUCAGGUUGGUACCUGUGCCCUUUGAACAUGCCCUGUCCCUUUUUGAGCACUUUUCUACUUUCUAGAUCUGAGAAGACACCCUCAGCUCAUGUUUUAUUUUCCCUGUGUGAUUCCCAGCCCUGAAACCAAACACUUCUCCGCGAGCUUUUGUUCUUUAGUUGGAGAAUGGUAUCUGAAAACCAAGAUCUGAAUGCUGGUGUUCCCACUGCCAUUACGAUCUCCCUGCUUCUAGGCCCUCUCAGCGGCCAGAGCUUAGGAGAUGUGUAUGUGUCACUGAUUCCCUCGACUCUAAUAGGAAUGGUCUCCAGGGGUAAGUGGACCCGCCCAGCCGCCAGCGCACUUCACAGAGAACAGGAAGUAGGGUGUAAUAAGAGAGGAGCUGAGAAUGAGUAACUAAAGGUAAGACUUGCAGCAUAUUCAUCAGAUCACUGUGUCUCAGAGCCUGGGCAGGCCAGCCUGUGCUGCAAGAAGAGACAGCUCCAAUAACCAUGUUGCUGGUCAUUAUCACUUAAUUCUCAGAACCUCAGCUUCUUCCUUUGUAACAUGAGAGAAUAAUUCCAACCCUAUAGAUUUAUGCUGAGUUGGAGAAAAACUGUAUAAAGUGCUAAGCACAUUAGUCACUCAAGGAGCAUGUUAGUUAUCAUAGUAACUUUUGAUUUCCAUGAGUAAAAAUACAUUUUUACAUACAUCUUAUGGAUAAUAUAAACAUAUGUAAUACAUAAUCGUGUUUUCAGAAUUGUAUCUGUACUUGCAUGAGCGUGCACAGACACACACACAACAUCAUACACAUAUAUAUACAGCCAUUGUAAAGUAAAGUAGAUUCUUUUGAAUCUAAAA